rnacentral:tRNA from 1 species
GGUUCCGUAGCUCAGUUGGAUUAGAGCAACGCCCUUCUAAGGCGUGGGUCUUGGGUUCGAAUCCCAACGGAAUCACCA